rnacentral:rRNA from 1 species
AGGACGAACGCUGGCGGCGUGCUUAACACAUGCAAGUCGAACGAGGCGCUUGCGCCUAGUGGCGAACGGGUGAGUAACACGUGAGCAACCUGCCCUUGGCUCUGGGAUAGCCUCCGGAAACGGGGAUUAAUACCGGACAUGACCUUCUCCUGCAUGGGGGAGGGUGGAAAGUUUUUCGGCCAGGGAGGGGCUCGCGGCCUAUCAGCUUGUUGGGGGGUAACGGCCCACCAAGGCGACGACGGGUAGCCGGCCUGAGAGGGCGACCGGCCACACUGGGACUGAGACACGGCCCAGACUCCUACGGGAGGCAGCAGUGGGGAAUAUUGCACAAUGGGGGAAACCCUGAUGCAGCGACGCCGCGUGCGGGAUGAAGGCCUUCGGGUUGUAAACCGCUUUCAGCAGGGGCGAAUUCGAGACGGUACCUGCAGAGAAGCGCCGGCUAACUACGUGCCAGCAGCCGC